rnacentral:rRNA from 1 species
AUUGAACGCUGGCGGCAGGCUUAACACAUGCAAGUCGAGCGGAGAGAGGUAGCUUGCUACUGAUCUUAGCGGCGGACGGGUGAGUAAUGCUUAGGAAUCUGCCUAUUAGUGGGGGACAACAUUUCGAAAGGAAUGCUAAUACCGCAUACGUCCUACGGGAGAAAGCAGGGGAUCUUCGGACCUUGCGCUAAUAGAUGAGCCUAAGUCGGAUUAGCUAGUUGGUGGGGUAAAGGCCUACCAAGGCGACGAUCUGUAGCGGGUCUGAGAGGAUGAUCCGCCACACUGGGACUGAGACACGGCCCAGACUCCUACGGGAGGCAGCAGUGGGGAAUAUUGGACAAUGGGCGCAAGCCUGAUCCAGCCAUGCCGCGUGUGUGAAGAAGGCCUUAUGGUUGUAAAGCACUUUAAGCGAGGAGGAGGCUACUUUAGUUAAUACCUAGAGAUAGUGGACGUUACUCGCAGAAUAAGCACCGGCUAACUCUGUGCCAGCAGCCGCGGUAAUACAGAGGGUGCAAGCGUUAAUCGGAUUUACUGGGCGUAAAGCGCGCGUAGGCGGCUAAUUAAGUCAAAUGUGAAAUCCCCGAGCUUAACUUGGGAAUUGCAUUCGAUACUGGUUAGCUAGAGUGUGGGAGAGGAUGGUAGAAUUCCAGGUGUAGCGGUGAAAUGCGUAGAGAUCUGGAGGAAUACCGAUGGCGAAGGCAGCCAUCUGGCCUAACACUGACGCUGAGGUGCGAAAGCAUGGGGAGCAAACAGG